UGUAUAGUAGCAUAGUGGGAAUGCGUGGAAUUUUGAAUUCUAAAAUAAAGGUUCGAGCCCUUUUUUUACAA
rnacentral:tRNA from 1 species